GCGUUGGAGCAACAGUCCUUGUAAGAUCCCUGAAGUUAAACAACGUUGAGCCUGAUCAGUACCUAGAUGAGUGACCGCUUGGGAAGAACAGGUGCUGUAAG